rnacentral:rRNA from 1 species
AUUGAACGCUGGCGGCAGGCUUAACACAUGCAAGUCGAACGAUGAUUAUCUAGCUUGCUAGAUAUGAUUAGUGGCGGACGGGUGAGUAACAUUUAGGAAUCUACCUAGUAGUGGGGGAUAGCUCGGGGAAACUCGAAUUAAUACCGCAUACGACCUACGGGUGAAAGGGGGCGCAAGCUCUUGCUAUUAGAUGAGCCUAAAUCAGAUUAGCUAGUUGGUGAGGUAAAGGCCCACCAAGGCGACGAUCUGUAACUGGUCUGAGAGGAUGAUCAGUCACACCGGAACUGAGACACGGUCCGGACUCCUACGGGAGGCAGCAGUGGGGAAUAUUGGACAAUGGGGGCAACCCUGAUCCAGCCAUGCCGCGUGUGUGAAGAAGGCCUUUUGGUUGUAAAGCACUUUAAGCAGGGAGGAGAGGCUAAUGGUUAAUACCCAUUAGAUUAGACGUUACCUGCAGAAUAAGCACCGGCUAACUCUGUGCCAGCCGCCGCAGUAAGAC